rnacentral:lncRNA from 1 species
CUUCACCUCAACUUUACAAGCAUUUCCUUUCAGACCAAGCUAUAUGUCAUUUGGCUGUGAUUUUUUGCUCGUGAUUGUCACUAUAAACUGUGAACCAGUUCCAAAGGCUUCAAAGCAACAUGGGUCACAUUUAAAGGCUCCAAGAGAUAGACAUCCAUGUCCCGGAGAGACUGUUUUUCUGCCUCCUCUAGCCUCCUUCAACACCUCCAGAUCCAAGUGGGUGGUUCAACCGAGAAACACAAUGAGACUACAUUGAAAAAGUGAAGUGCAAUCAGGUCUCAUGUGCUGACCAGAUGCUAGAUCCAAAAUAGGCACAAGAGUCCCAGAGCACAGCUGGUGCAAAAGCUCUGUGAACAACUAGUGGCUUCAGGUUUGGUGGCUUCCUCAAAACAGUGGAAACUUCAGAGCUGCGAUGGGAGGCAAGCUUUGAAGUUUCUAUGUGAGAAAAAAUAUAAUUAUCAAAGUGGAAAAGUAGCUGAAACCGAUUUUGGAAACUCUCUUUUUAUGCAAGCAUAUAAGAAAUGGCCUUUGUAAAAUAUAUAUGUUUUUGUUUGUUUGUUUGUUUGCUUGUUUGUUUUUUGUGACAGUGGGGACUGAACCAGAGGGCACUGGGCUAAGUCUUUAGUCCUUUUAUUUUGAGCAGG